rnacentral:misc_RNA from 1 species
UGGGGGGCAAAUUGCGAUAACUUCCCUGGUAAUGGGGAUUAUGAAUGACAAUAAUGAAAAGAAUCAAGGUACAGAUAUGCUCUUCACACUAUACACACUGGUUUCACUGUUGUUUUAUUUAAGGCCUUUUCCUUCAUCUUCAUUCAAAAUGCGAUUCCGGAAAUCAUUCACCAUGAGGGGCAAUCCAUCUCUCAAAGAAAUUUUUGGCUCCCA